UUACCAGAACCAUGAAUGGCGCUUUGGUGGAAGACGGUGGAGUUUAGUGAUGGUAGUCAUGAAUCCGGCGGCUACUAAGGUUUUAAAGUUAGUGGCGUUCGUUUCUUCUAUCUGCGUUGGGAACAAUACGGUCUUGAAGCAUGGUUUGAGCAUUUUAAACGACCCCACUAAACGCUCUGCUCUUGGUCCAGAAGUCUACGAACGUUGUGUUGUAAUUCGGGUCGAGAUCAAACCGUGUGUAUAUUUUGGUCUACUUUGUACACGUGUUGUAUAUAAUACACGUACAGUGGGGGGUUAUGGGUUCCGCGCCACGAUGGUGGCGGUCUAUAGACACCGAUCUAUGGCAAAUGGGCUUGGUCAUGUAAUGGGUAAAAAAAGAAACAAACCCGAUGAGAUGAAGCCAUAACGUCCAAGUCACAUUGAGUAUCACGUGAAAAAACGACCAAAGUGUAUUAAUCUAGACCGAAAUCAAGCCAGUUCUAUUACGUCCAAGUCACAUUUCCUUAGAAAAGCUAACUAAGGCUAAUGGGUGUGGAGGAAAGUAGUCCUUUGAGGAUGAUCUGCCACGUAGGCGUCCACAACAACAAGUGUGGGGAAUGAGCCUAAAGGGAUGUGCUAGGGUGCGGGGAUGAGCCCCUUUAUAUAUACAUAUGUAUGUACGUAUGUGUAUGUGUGUUUCGGAGGAACGUUGAGGUUGGCAGGGGAAGACGGAGGUGACAGGGACGCAGCUCAUGUUGGACACACUAACAAGUCUUCAAAAAAGGGCAAGGUUUGGUGGUUUCGCUUCUUAUCCUACCAUCCGUAAUACCAGCUGCAGAAACAAAACCUUCAACAAGGCCUCAUAACAAGUCCAAAGGUAGCGAAAGAAGUCAGGCAAGUUGAAGUGAAGUUGACCGAUCAAUUGCCUUUUCAAAUCCUGCUACUCACUUUUAUACGGCUUGGCUUCGAUAUAGACUCAAGACUACUUUAUAUUUAUGUAAAUUUCAAUUUUAUUAUUUCUUUUAUUUUCUUAAAAGUAACAUGCAGUUUAUUUUUUCUUUAUUUUAUUAUAUAUUUUUAUGUCUUAUCCAACUUAAAUUGUUCAUACAGUAUAACACACGAGUAGAUAACCUAUUGUUGUAUACAAGGAAAUCUUUAGAGACUUAUGAUCAUUUUGAAUUAUGUGAAAGUAAACUUAGUUGUUA